UCCCAAACCACAAGCAUGGAAUAUCUUUCCAUUUCUUUGUGUCAUCUUCAAUUCUUUUCAUAACUGCUCCAUAGUUUUUAGAGUAUAUGUCUUUAGCCUCU